rnacentral:rRNA from 2 species
GAAUUGAAGAGUUUGAUCAUGGCUCAGAUUGAACGCUGGCGGCAGGCUUAACACAUGCAAGUCGAACGGUAGCAGGAAGAAAGCUUGCUUUCUUUGCUGACGAG